rnacentral:misc_RNA from 1 species
GGCCUAUUGGUCUCUGCCACCCUGACAUCGGAAAACUUGAUUUUCCGAGUAAGGGGUGAGGCCAGCCACGACAUCAUCUCAACAUCAAAGGUAUCCGAGCCAGGCCGCCACUUGAGCUUGUGGAUAUACGGGCUCACGAACCAGUGGAGAGCUGCAGUAGUGGAAGCACUGAGGAAGAUCACCGUCGAUGCAACCACCCCCUUGAUAAUGACGUUCAUGUCCG